GUUUGGGUUCCUCGCAAGUUGUGAACUAAAACCAGAGCUUGCGAGCAGCCUCCUGAGAAGGACGGUGGGUCUGGCGUGUGGUAUCGCUCCAAAACUGACUGCCAGACAGCGACCGCAUGAGCCUCUCAAGCCCAGAUCCCGAAAUCUCACCCACCUGUUAACCGUCCAGCCUGAUGCUUUUGCCUCAAGUGCCUAAUGCUUCUGCAGGUACCAGGUGUUUAGUGCUGAAGGGUGCAAACAGCUAUGGACAACUUGGUCUCGGUCAUAAAGAGGAUGUGCUGGUACCUCAGUCAACGAAAGAUGUUUCCUGCAAAUGUUGAGCAUUACUGGAGGAGGGGGACAUUCUGCAGUUAUCACUGGUGCUCUUUGUGCAUGGCCAUAACAAAGAAGGGCAGCUGGGACUGAAUCACACAGAAGAUGUACUGCGUUUCACUUCUGUGCACUGCCCUGUCUGGCUUUCAUGUAAAAGAAGUUGCCUGUGGUUGGGAUUUUGCAAUCAUAUUAGUAGGAAUUGGCCUAGUUCUGUCCUGUGGGUCUAAUGCUUUUGGACAAUUAGGAGUUCCUCAAAUUUCAGCAAGUAAAGGCCUGGUGACCUCAGUGGGCUUUAAGCCAGGCCCUUCAACUGCUUUUGAAGGAGUCUAUCUGAUGAAAUAAAUUUACAAAGUAAAGGACCAAAGAUGGUAAUUGACUCAGAAAUGAGAAACUAAGGUUGCUUUCCUUCUUGUAUGAAGAAGUUGCCCACUGUUAUGGAAAACUGUCCGUUUCACUUGUGAUUAGAACAAUUCAUUAAUGCAUUUGGAUGACAUCUGCAGAAUGAGUCUGAUGCUCAGGUGAUGUGAAGUGAUAUUAAAGCUAAUGAAACCAUCUGACUUUACUUCAGCUGAAGUUUUGCCUCAAGUUUGUAAGAGUUCAGGUAUGUUUUGCUACCUGGAGUUUACUCAUACCUUUGCAUACCUUGUUCAAGGCUUGUGCUUAGUUGUUUGAUUGAUGCCUUGCAAAACAAAAUAGAUUAGCAGUAAUCUGCUCUGGAAAAAUAAACUGUGUGAUAGAGUUCAACAAAAUUAGUGAUGUCAAUUCUUCUGAUACGUUGCUCUUUUGCUUCUUAUGCACUUCUGCUUUUUGAGUAUGUGCUACUUUUCAGGUGCAUUUAUGACUCCAAAUUUCUUUCCCACAGUGAGGACCGUAGUAUUAUUUCCUGGUCUUAAAAACCUUUAGAUAACAGCAAGCUUGGUCAUUCCCAAAAUAAUAUCAGUAUGGGAAAGUAUGUAGCUGCAGGAAAAUCAAACUGAGAGUAUAUACUUUAGUUAUGUACUUUGAGACUAAGAUUAUUUUUACUUCUGCAUGUAAAGGAAAUAAAAAGUAAAUUGACUCACA